AUUGAACGCUGGCGGCAUGCCUUACACAUGCAAGUCGAACGGCAGCACGGGAGCAAUCCUGGUGGCGAGUGGCGAACGGGUGAGUAAAGUAUCGGAACGUGCCCAGUCGUGGGGGAUAACGUAGCGAAAGUUACGCUAAUACCGCAUACGAUCUAUGGAUGAAAGCGGGGGAUCGCAAGACCUCGCGCGAUUGGAGCGGCCGAUAUCAGAGUAGGUAGUUGGUGGGGUAAAGGCUCACCAAGCCGACGAUCUGUAGCUGGUCUGAGAGGACGACCAGCCACACGGGGACUGAGACACGGCCCAGACUCCUACGGGAGGCAGCAGUGGGGAAUUUUGGACAAUGGGCGAAAGCCUGAUCCAGCCAUGCCGCGUGCAGGAUGAAGGCCUUCGGGUUGUAAACUGCUUUUGUACGGAACGAAAAGCUUUGGCCUAAUAAGCUGAGCUCAUGACGGUACCGUAAGAAUAAGCACCGGCUAACUACGUGCCAGCCGCCGCGGUAA
rnacentral:rRNA from 1 species